ACAGAUAAGGACACCCGUGACCUCCGAGGUCACAGUAUAUGCCUCCCCCCGCUGCUGGAGGUCUUUAGGAAGCAGGAAACCUCCAAAGAAAAGCCAUGGAGGCUGAAGCUUCCUCCCUUCUAGGCAGUGCAGGUGAUGAUCAAGCUAGUGUUUGCCCUCAGGAAAGGAAAACCAACAUGGAUUAUCAGACCAAGAUAAAUGAUACAGCCACCAGUGAAAUAAGUGAUUUGAUCCAGUCGAUACUUGCACUAUAUGAUGCUUUGCCGCAGGCCCAGAGCAACAGAGCUAACCAAUCAUGAACUGAAAACUCCCCUGAAACUCUUAGUAACUUAAUUAUCUCAUGCACUUUACCAUAAUGGUGGGAAUCUGGCUGGCAGGUCUCUAUCAAGAGGAGAGAGAUUCCAAGAUCUCCCGCAAAUGCUUGAAACCAUAAUUAGUACCAACCACUUUGGAUACCACAUUUUUUUCCUGUGCAUGUGUACCUCAAUAAAAUUUAAGUCACAGAAA